UGUAUAUGUUUAUAGGUAGAUAUAUGUAUAUAGAUUCAUACUUAUUCUGCUUCUGGAGAUAACAGAUCUAGAUUUCUCUGUAAGGCUUUUUUUUUUUGGAAGAUCUAAGAGUUUCCCAUAAGUUUUAAAGGUUUGCUUUUAAUAGUUCCAGGGAUUAUUGACUUGUAUCUGUGAGCCCAGGAAAUACCUGGUGAAGGAAGCUGCACAUACUAGGGCGUAUGCUGGUAACACACACACACACACACACACACGGUGUUUGCUCACAUAGAGGUGUAAGUCAUGUUUGUCAUGGUAGGUUAGUUUUACUCACUAACCAUUAUGACAACUGACUCAACAUGCCGUGGACAACCUUAGCUCUAGUUUAACUGAACACACGUGAAAUUAUAGUACAAACAUGUGAUUAGGAACACUGCGAAGGGUAUAUUUUCUUUCAUACAAAGAAUAUUUGCAUAUAUGUUUUGUUUAUAAAUACAAUAUUUUUCUAUAUCAGUGAAAAUACACACACACACACACACACACACACGUAAACAUAUAAAUAUAUCACACUGAAAAAACAUUAUUGCAACAAAAAGUACCCAAACGCCCCACAGCCAACUGCACCCCAGGAGCCCUGGGAAGAGCACUGCCUCGUGAAGCUGAGGCCCCGGCAUGCAGAGUGCUGGAGCCAAGAUAACGCCGCCUGUGCUGCAAAUCACCCCUCAGGACGUGCACAAUGACCAGGACCUGCAAAGUGUAACUGAAGAGUGGGCUACGCACCCCGGUUCUGAAGUAGGCGGUGGGAUCAGAGUCAUUGUGCAUCAAAGAUACCAAAUCCCACAUAUUCCUGAUGUAUAGAUUCAUGACAUAACAGUUUACACUUGUCAUAAUUUGGAAUUGAAAUGGCCUGGCCUUCAGGCGCACACAGCCACACCGUGUGGCAGACGCGAGCUCCGCUUUGAGGCUGUCAGACCCAGGCAGCAGCCCUGCUCCCUGCUCAAUGGGGAGCUCGACGCAGCAGCCACACAGCACCCCCUUGGGCGCCAGCCUUCAUCUUUGUAAAAUGAAUAAAGUGAAAGUGCCCAUCUCACGUAGUCAUUCUGAAGAUUAAAUGAUGUACGAUAUUUAAUGAACCUGUCAUAGUGACCUUCAGAAUUAAAUGCUCAAGAAAAUAUUGGAAAGUAUACUUGGAAAUAUGAUUCACAAUUGUAACUAAAAGAAAAAGUGAGAUCAUCUGUCAAUGAUUUAAGUAGCAUAGAUUUCCAUCAUAUGAUGGAGUCAACAACUAUGAACAGUAUAAGAAAACUUCUAGGUGGCUCACACCUGUAAUCCCAGCACUUUGGGAGGCCAAGGUGGGCGGAUCAUGAGGUCAGGAGAUGGAGACCAUCCUGGCUAACACAGUGAAACCCCGUCUCUACUCAAAAUACAAAAAAUUAGCCGAGUGUGGUGACAGGUGCCUGUAGUCCCAGCUACUCGGGAGGCUGAGGCAGGAGAAUGGCAUGAAUCCGGGAGGUGGAGCUUGCAGUGAGCCCAGUUCGUGCCACAGCACUCUAGCCUGGGCGACAGAGUGAGACUCUGGCUCAAAAGAAAAAAGAAAACUUCUAUAAAAGUCAGGUUCGACAAAUAUCUAUGACUUUCCUUAGGCAGAUGAGCAUCACACAUUAAUAUACUGGAAAAGUUGUCUAUAUUUCAACUCAUAUUAAAGUACCAGCUAUUUAUA